rnacentral:rRNA from 1 species
CCUACGAGUGGCUGCAGUGAGGAAUAUUGGUCAAUGGGCGCGAGCCUGAACCAGCCAAGUAGCGUGAAGGAUGACUGCCCUACGGGUUGUAAACUUCUUUUAUAAAGGAAUAAAGUGAGGCACGUGUGCCUUUUUGUAUGUCCUUUAUGAAUAAGGAUCGGCUAACUCCGUGCCAGCAGCCGCGGUAAUACGGAGGAUCCGAGCGUUAUCCGGAUUUAUUGGGUUUAAAGGGAGCGUAGAUGGGUUUUUAAGUCAGUUGUGAAAGUUUGCGGCUCAACCGUAAAAUUGCAAUUGAUACUGGCAGUCUUGAGUACAGUUGAGGUAGGCGGAAUUCGUGGUGUAGCGGUGAAAUGCUUAGAUAUCACGAAGAACUCCGAUUGCGAAGGCAGCUUACUAAACUGCCACUGACAUUGAUGCUCGAAAGUGUGGGUAUCAAACAGGAUUAGAUACCCCAGUAGUC